rnacentral:misc_RNA from 1 species
AACGCACAUUGCGCUCCCUGGUAUUCCGGGGAGCAUGCCCGUUUCAGAAUCAUUAAAACACCUCAUCUCCUGUCUUUGGAUGGGUCGAUGGAUGUUGGACGUUUUGUGUUCUCCGUGGCACAAUCGUCUUAAUGAUAUUGUGCAUGGCUCCAGCAAAAAACUGGCUGCUUCCCAAGGUGCAACAGAUUAUUUCUUUACACUUUGGAAGCUAGCCAACGACAGCUGGGUGGUUAUGUGCUCCUGACCCCACGACUGGGGAACAUUGUUCCCUUUCAAACUGGUCUGAAAUCGGGCAAGAAAACCCGCUGAACUUAA